UACGUAGGGUGCAAGCGUUAUCCGGAUUCACUGGGUUUAAAGGGUGCGUAGGAGGGCAGGUAAGUCAGUGGUGAAAUCUCCGAGCUUAACUUGGAAACUGCCGUUGAUACUAUCUGUCUUGAAUAUUGUGGAGGUGAGCGGAAUAUGUCAUGUAGCGGUGAAAUGCUUAGAUAUGACAUAGAACACCAAUUGCGAAGGCAGCUCGCUACACAUAUAUUGACUCUGAGGCACGAAAGCGUGGGGAUCAAACAGG
rnacentral:rRNA from 1 species